CCCCUCCCCAUCCCCACCUCCCACCCUAAAGCACCUUAUACCACGGAAGCCUCUCACCCUCCUCUUUCCUCCGUGAACGCGCUGAGCAGCGAUUGAAAGCGCUUUGGUCCUCUGCAGGUUUGAGCAGGGCUAGUAGGGGCGUGUUCUGGGGUCUCAGAACUAGACCACCUCUAGACUCUCUCACCAGCCGCAGCCAGCUCUACGCGCCCUCAGGCCGCGGUGGCGGAGAAUAUCCCCCCUUCCUCGGACCCUGGAACCGCAGCGGGCCUUUCCCUCGGGGCCGACAGCGCCGUAGGGGACGCCGCGAAAAGAGCCGCAGCGGCCGCCGCCUCCCGCCCGCUGCGCAGAGGGCUCCACCCGUAGAGGUCAACUCCCUUCACCCCUUCCUCUCCAACUCGCCCUCCCUCCGCCCGGCCCAGGUUCCUCCUGCCUCCGGAAUCUGGCCGCAGUCUGAGGAGUGCGCGUCCGCUGUGCUGCUCGCAACCAGGACCCGGAGCCGGCCCCAGCCUUCGGGUCCGCGCUCCCCGGCCGUGGGGAAGCCUUAGCGAGCAGCCUUUUCUCUCUGCAGUAAAGCUGUAGCCAUACCAGAUGGGCCGCCCCGCUCUCUGGGGACUAGGCAGGUGCGAUUGAGUUAAUUUUUCCGCAUCACAAAGAAAGAUGACCUAGACCGCCCUUGGACUCCUCUCUUCCCCAAAUCUCCCAACCAAAACCGCGGUAACGCUAUCAGAGGACGUAGAGACUAGGCAUAUCUGCGUGUUUAUCUUACAUACACACACGUAUGGUUAUCUUCCCCUUUAUGUGCUAGAUCGCAUGCCCACAGCAGGAAACGAUUGACAAGGCUUUCUUCAGCAGAACAUGCCGUGGCGCGGUCCUUAAAACCUGCCAUUCCUUACAAGGGACUAAGAAGAGAUGCGGGGCACACCAACCCGGUUAAUUGCCUUCAGCGAAAUAACACGAUUGUGAAAUUAGAUCUGUGUCAGAGGGGUAAUUAACUUCGAUCCACGCCGUCAUUUGAAAACUAGAUUUAUAGGCGUAUGUAUGUUUUUAGGGGUGCUGUAAAUGGCAUGCGGAAAUAUGCAUAUGUAUACGCAGA